rnacentral:tRNA from 1 species
GAGGGUAUAGCUCAAGAGGUAGAGCUCAUGCUUAGCAUGCAUGACAUCUUAGAUUCAAUCCCCAGUACCUCCA